rnacentral:lncRNA from 10 species
AGUCUUGCCGGCCUCUCAGAGAGUCAGCCAACCCCUGAGGCCUUUCGGGGACUGAUAACGCUCACCUUUGGCUCAGACUGAAUCCAAACACUUCACCUCUUUUUCUUCACAGAGCCCCAUCCUCCAAAGGACCCUGUUCCAGCUUGUGACAAACCCAGAGGCAAUCCUGGUCAUCCGGAGGAGGAGGUGUCUGUGCCGUUGCUUGGAGCUGACUGUAGGCCUAGAGGCACAGGAUUAUACAGGAUUAUGGACUCUCACUCUGUCACCC